rnacentral:rRNA from 1 species
AACCGAGGCCCAGACUCCUACGGGAGGCAGCAGUGGGGAAUAUUGCACAAUGGGGGAGACCCUGAUGCAGCCAUGCCGCGUGUGUGAAGAAGGCCUUCGGGUUGUAAAGCACUUUCAGCAGUGAGGAAGGUAGUGUACUUAAUACGUGCAUUGCUUGACGUUAGCUGCAGAAGAAGCACCGGCUAACUCCGUGCCAGCAGCCGCGGUAAUACGGAGGGUGCGAGCGUUAAUCGGAAUUACUGGGCGUAAAGCGCAUGCAGGCGGUUUGUUAAGUCAGAUGUGAAAGCCCGGGGCUCAACCUCGGAACCGCAUUUGAAACUGGCAGGCUAGAGUCUUGUAGAGGGGGGUAGAAUUUCAGGUGUAGCGGUGAAAUGCGUAGAGAUCUGAAGGAAUACCAGUGGCGAAGGCGGCCCCCUGGACAAAGACUGACGCUCAGAUGCGAAAGCGUGGGUAGCAAACAGGAUUAGAUACCCUGGUAGUCCACGCCGUAAACGAUGUCUACUUGGAGGCUGAGGUUUUAGACUUUGGCUUUCGGAGCUAACGCAUUAAGUAGACCGCCUGGGGAGUACGGCCGCAAGGUUAAAACUCAAAUGAAUUGACGGGGGCCCGCACAAGCGGUGGAGCAUGUGGUUUAAUUCGAUGCAACGCGAAGAACCUUACCUACUCUUGACAUCCAGAGAACUUUCCAGAGAUGGAUUGGUGCCUUCGGGAGCUCUGAGACAGGUGCUGCAUGGCUGUCGUCAGCUCGUGUUGUGAAAUGUUGGGUUAAGUCCCGCAACGAGCGCAACCCUUAUCCUUGUUUGCCAGCACGUAAAGGUGGGAACUCCAGGGAGACUGCCGGUGAUAAACCGGAGGAAGGUGGGGACGACGUCAAGUCAUCAUGGCCCUUACGAGUAGGGCUACACACGUGCUACAAUGGCAGAUACAGAGGGCAGCGAGACAGCGAUGUUAAGCGAAUCCCUUAAAGUUUGUCGUAGUCCGGAUUGGAAGUCUGCAACUCGACUCCAUGAAGUCGGAAUCGCUAGAAUCGCAGAUCAGAUGCUGCGGUGAAUACGUUUCCCGGGCCUUGG